UUUUGGAUAGUGUAUUGCUAUACAAAUAUCUAUUAAUUCAUCUAAAAUUUAAAUAAAAAUUGGUUGCAAACAUGUAGAGUGGGAACAAACUUCUGGGGGAAACAUGUGAGGUGCGAAAGUGUAUUGGGCGAGAAUGGACCUGAUACCGGUAGGGUUAGGGCAAACAAACAUAUUCUUUUAAAUGACCUGAAUGUUGUAUAAAGCAAACUAAAAUAAUCAAAAAGAAGGUCAUGGCUUCUCAACAUUUUAAGAAGAAAGCAGGUGUUCUGUC
rnacentral:lncRNA from 1 species